UUGUCAAUUAUCUUCUCAUGAAAUUUUGAUUCAUUGUGAUCAGCUGAAGACCAGUAUAGGAAGAAGUUGAUCAUUUUGUGAACAUGGAUCCUAAUCAUACCGACGAUC
rnacentral:snoRNA from 15 species